UACGUAGGGUGCGAGCGUUGUCCGGAAUUAUUGGGCGUAAAGAGCGCGUAGGCGGUCUGUCGCGUCGGUCGUGAAAACUUGGGGCUUAACCCUGAGCUUGCGGUCGAUACUGGCAUGACUGGAGUUCGGCAGGGGAGACUGGAAUUCCUGGUGUAGCGGUGAAAUGCGCAGAUAUGAGGAGGAACACCGGUGGCGAAGGCGGGUCUCUGGGCCGAUACUGACGCUGAGGCGCGAAAGCGUGGGGAGCGAACAGG
rnacentral:rRNA from 1 species